AAAUACUAAAAAUUAAGGAUAUUCUGAUACUUACAAUUGAACAAAGAGAUUCCAAUUUGUUAUACGGGUAUUUUCCAACUGUUAUUACAUGAUCAUUACAGUCAGAUUCUUCACUGUUGGCAUAUCUAAAUUCUACCAAUUUUUAUAUGAUGAUUUUAUAUCUUGCAACUUUACUGAAUUCAGUUGUCAGUUUUUACAGAUUUUUUGUGGAGUAUUUAGGGUUGUUGUUUGCAUGGUGGCACGUGCCUGUAGCCCCAGCUAGCUGGGAGGCUGAGGUAGGAGAAUCGCUUGAACCUGGGAGGCGGAGGUUGCAGCUGAGAUGGUAAGGACAGCCAAAUAUAAUAGGGAAUAAAGAGAGGGAAGACUAUGAGUUUAAUUAUGAAUAUACUGAGUUAGGAUGUCCUGAAAGGGCUUCCAAAUCAAUAUAUAUAGUAAGCAUUUAGAUUAAAGAAUCUAAAACUCAGAGAAUAUAUUAAAUUUGACAUUUCUUAAACCACAAGAAUGUAUGAAAUUGCCAUGGAUAUAGCGUUAGAAGUUCAUUAAGAACAGAACUCUAGAAUAUAAAUGAAGAAGGAAGCAGACCCAUGAAGAG
rnacentral:lncRNA from 1 species